UUNGGAAACUGUUAGACUUGAGUGCAGAAGGGGAGAGUGGAAUNCCAUGUGUAGCGGUGAAAUGCGUAGAUAUAUGGAGGANCACCGGUGGCGAAAGCGGCUCUCUGGUCUGUCACUGACGCUGAGGCACGAAAGCGUGGGUAGCGAACAGGAUUAGAUACCCUGGUAGUNCACGCCGUAAACGCUGAGUGCUAGGUGUUAGGUCCNUUCCGGGACUUAGUGCCGACGCUAACGCAUUAAGCACUCCGCCUGGGGAGUACGACCGCAAGGUUGAGACUCAAAGGAAUUGACGGGGGCCCGCACAAGCGGUGGAGCAUGUGGUUUAAUUCGAAGCAACGCGAAGAACCUUACCAGGUCUCGACAUCCCGAUGCCCGCUCUAGAGAUAGAGUUUUUCUUCGGAACAUCGGAGACAGGUGGUGCAUGGUUGUCGUCAGCUCGUGUCGUGAGAUGUUGGGUUAAGUCCCGCAACGAGCGCAACCCUUAUUGUUAGUUGCCAUCAUUAAGUUGGGCACUCUAGCGAGACUGCCGGUAAUAAACCGGAGGAAGGUGGGGAUGACGUCAAAUCAUCAUGCCCCUUAUGACCUGGGCUACACACGUGCUAC
rnacentral:rRNA from 1 species